UAUGAGUCCCUGCAGGAUCUAUAGAUGUGU
rnacentral:piRNA from 1 species